UGGCUGAAAGAUGGCGUAAGCUAUCGCUUUUGGAUGGACCCGCGGCGUAUUAGCUAGUUGGUGAGGUAACGGCUCACCAAGGCAAUGAUACGUAGCCGAACUGAGAGGUUGAUCGGCCACAUUGGGACUGAGACACGGCCCAAACUCCUACGGGAGGCAGCAGUAGGGAAUCUUCCACAAUGGACGCAAGUCUGAUGGAGCAACGCCGCGUGAGUGAAGAAGGCUUUCGGGUCGUAAAACUCUGUUGUUGGAGAAGAAUGGUCGGCAGAGUAACUGUUGUCGGCGUGACGGUAUCCAACCAGAAAGCCACGGCUAACUACGUGCCAGCAGCCGCGGUAAUACGUAGGUGGCAAGCGUUAUCCGGAUUUAUUGGGCGUAAAGCGAGCGCAGGCGGUUUUUUAAGUCUGAUGUGAAAGCCCUCGGCUUAACCGAGGAAGUGCAUCGGAAACUGGGAAACUUGAGUGCAGAAGAGGACAGUGGAACUCCAUGUGUAGCGGUGAAAUGCGUAGAUAUAUGGAAGAACACCAGUGGCGAAGGCGGCUGUCUGGUCUGUAACUGACGCUGAGGC
rnacentral:rRNA from 1 species